GACGAACGCUGGCGGCAUGCCUAAUACAUGCAAGUCGAGCGAACAGAUGAAGUGCUUGCACUUCUGACGUUAGCGGCGAACGGGUGAGUAACGCGUAAGGAAUCUACCUAUAAGCGGGGGAUAACAUUCGGAAACGGGUGCUAAUACCGCAUAAUAUCUUCUUCCGCAUGGAAGAAGAUUGAAAGACGGCUCUGCUGUCACUUAUAGAUGACCUUGCGGUGCAUUAGUUAGUUGGUGGGGUAACGGCCUACCAAGACGAUGAUGCAUAGCCGACCUGAGAGGGUGAUCGGCCACAGUGGGACUGAGACACGGCCCAAACUCCUACGGGAGGCAGCAGUAGGGAAUCUUCCGCAAUGGGCGAAAGCCUGACGGAGCAAUGCCGCGUGAGUGAAGAAGGCCUUCGGGUCGUAAAACUCUGUUAUAAGAGAAGAACAAAUUGUAGAGUAACUGCUACAGUCUUGACGGUAUCUUAUCAGAAAGCCACGGCUAACUACGUGCCAGCCGCCGCCGUAA
rnacentral:rRNA from 1 species